CAAUAGCGUAUAUUAAAGUUGUUGCAGUUAAAAAGCUCGUAGUUGGAUUUCUGAUCGAGACAUCAGGUCGGGUCCGAGAGGAUCAUGUACUUUGAUUUUGUUUUGAUCAUCCUUGGGGAGAGCAUUUCUGGCAUUCAGUUGUCGGGAUUGGGAUCCUCAUCGUUUACUGUGAAAAAAUUAGAGUGUUCAAAGCAGGCCUCGGCCUCUGAAUACAUUAGCAUGGAAUAAUAAGAUAGGACUUUGGUGAUCUAUUUUGUUGGUUUGCACGCCAAAGUAAUGAUUAAUAGGGAUAGUUGGGGGUAUUCGUAUUCAAUUGUCAGAGGUGAAAUUCUUGGAUUUAUGGAAGACGAACUACUGCGAAAGCAUUUACCAAGGAUGUUUUCAUUAA
rnacentral:rRNA from 1 species